AAAAAAGAUUUUUAAGAAAAAAAAUCCUGAAAAUAAACCCUGGCUGCCCUAGAUUUUGACACUAGCGAAAACUGUUCAAAUCUCACGUUAUCGACAUUGCUAGCUAAUAUCAUAAUCUAUUGUAGUUGUGUAGCUGUUAAUAGC